AUGAAAUCAUAUUCUCCUUUGGAGUUUCUUCUAGCUGAUGCGCCGUUGGCUGCACGCUGUUGUGACUCUUUGGGGGUUAUAUUUCCACAAACCCUUCUGUGCAUAUUGGGAGGCUUCAUUGUCCUCUCCUAACUUUAUAUACUCUAAUGUUUAAUCAUGUCAUAUAAAUGUUAAAUACAUUAAA
rnacentral:misc_RNA from 2 species